UACUGACACUGAGGAGCGAAAGCGUGGGGAGCGAACAGGAUUAGAUACCCUGGUAGUCCACGCCGUAAACGGUGGGCGCUAGUUGUGGGAACCUUCCACGGUUUCUGCGACGCAGCUAACGCAUUAAGCACCCCGCCUGGGGAGUACGAUCGCAAGAUUAAAACUCAAAGGAACUGACGGGGCCCCGCACAAGCAGCGGAGCAUGCGGCUUAAUUCGACGCAACGCGAAGAACCUUACCAAGGCUUGACAUAUACAGGAAUAUGGCAGAGAUGUCAUAGCGGUAAAACGUCUGUAUACAGGUGGUGCAUGGUUGUCGUCAGCUCGUGUCGUGAGAUGUUGGGUUAAGUCCCGCAACGAGCGCAACCCUCGUUCUGUGUUGCCAGCAUUUAGUUGGGGACUCACAGGAGACUGCCGGGGUUAACUCGGAGGAAGGUGGGGAUGACGUCAAAUCAUCAUGCCCCUUAUGUCUUGGGCUGCACGCAUGCUACAAUGGCUGGUACAAAGGGCUGCAAUACUGCAAAGUGGAGCGAAUCCCAAAAAGCCAGUCUCAGUUCGGAUUGGGGUCUGCAACUCGACCCCAUGAAGUCGGAGUUGCUAGUAAUCGUAGAUCAGCAACGCUACGGUGAAUACGUUCCCGGGGCUUGUACACACCGCCCGUCACAUCACGAAAGUCGGUAACACCCAAAGUCAGUGGCCCAACCGCAAGGAGGGAGCUGCCAAAG
rnacentral:rRNA from 1 species